UGGGGAAUAUUGCACAAUGGGCGCAAGCCUGAUGCAGCCAUGCCGCGUGUAUGAAGAAGGCCUUCGGGUUGUAAAGUACUUUCAGCGGGGAGGAAGGUGUUGUGGUUAAUAACCACAGCAAUUGACGUUACCCGCAGAAGAAGCACCGGCUAACUCCGUGCCAGCAGCCGCGGUAAUACGGAGGGGGCAAGCGUUAAUCGGACUUACUGGGCGUAAAGCGCACGCAGGCGGUCUGUCAAGUCGGAUGUGAAAUCCCCGGGCUCAACCUGGGAACUGCAUCCGAAACUGGCAGGCUUGAGUCUUGUAGAGGGGGGUAGAAUUCCAGGUGUAGCGGUGAAAUGCGUAGAGAUCUGGAGGAAUACCGGUGGCGAAGGCGGCCCCCUGGACAAAGACUGACGCUCAGGUGCGAAAGCGUGGGGAGCAAACA
rnacentral:rRNA from 1 species